rnacentral:lncRNA from 1 species
AUGAGCCACGAGCGUUACAACCGUUGUUUUUUUGUUUUUUUUCUGGUAAUGAGAGGAAUGAUGAAAAGACCGAGGGGCACUUCUAAACUGAGCCCACUGACAGUACGGGUUCAGUUCAGCGAUGUGCUGUCCGCCAUUUUCUCCGAAACAAACAAGAACAAAAGAAGAAAAAACUGGAUAAAAACGAUUAGCUGGCAUCAUUAUUUAAAGUUUCCCCCUUUUCUCCCUCUGAGUGUCUUUCUCUCUCUCUCUCGCCUGGCACCAUUACAAAACCUUGGCUCGGAAGAUCACAUGAUUUCCUACCAGAAAGCCACAGCCUUCCCAAGAGGCGUAGCCUUACUGUGCCCUUGUCUGGCCCCUCUUCCUCAGUGUUCAGCCACUUGCAAACAGGAUUCACAAAGAAGAAGUAUGACUUAAACGAAUAUGAACGACUAUGACUUGUCGACAUGAAGAGGUAGGUUGAACUUUAACCAAGAGAGUCAGAGAGUUGUUGCAUGAGAUACAUUUUGUUGUAACAUUAAAAUUCUUUUUGGAAAUCUAUUUGUACAUUUUGUUGUAACAUUAAAAUUCUUUUUGGAAAUCUAUUUGUGAGCCCAGUAAUGCACACUGAGCAGCAUCACAGGCAUACAGCCAUCUUCAUGUAAACAGAAUAAAAUACAGCUUAACUGGGCGCAAAAGCCAAAAUGAAAAUUCAGUCAUGAGAGCAGCUCCAGCAGCUCAUUUUACACAAUCAGAGCGAUGCCUCUCAUCAUUCUAGCUUCAGAAGAGAGUUGUAGAUGCUCACAAAUAUUGACUAAACUGUUUAGGAUGACAGCAAAAAUGGUUUGUGACUGCUAACCCACGGUGUAAUGUUGCUUUAAAAGCUAAGAGAGCUUUACCGUGCAGCCAGCCGGGGCGAUGACUUUGCCUGACCCACCUGUCUGUUGAUCCUGCUGCCUAGCACCAGACUAAACACCAAGAUUUUUACCAAGGCUUAUUGGCUGCAGCUGACUAACCAACAGCCAAUCAGUGCGCAGGGAGGGAUGGAUGGAGGGCAAAAAUCUGACUGAGAAUAGAAGGGAGAGAGAGAGAGAGAGAGAGAGAGAGAGAGAGAGGAUGUGCAGAGACAACCAAACCUCAUACAAACUCUGAACAAGAAAUCACGCCAAGAUGAAAAAAUGUGCACCGACCACACACAAGUUAUUAUGUUGAUGCUUUUUACACAAAAGAAAUAUUUUUCUAUCACUGAGCACAAAGGGUGUCUCAUAUAGAAAUGUUGAAUCGAAAAAACACUUGCUGAUAGAGAUACAAGCAGUUUUUGCUGGGGUAUCAAAUGUUGAUCCAUAACAUUAACAAAGUAAAAGGGCAUCUGUUUCUGAAUGGCACUGAAUUGAUAACCUGGCCUCAGACGAGGCUGCUAUCAGACCGUGCUUUUACGGUCGCUACAAGGGAUCAAUACCUAAUGAAUUCCAAAUGGCAGAGAUUCAGAAACAUAAAUGUAUCCUACACAUGAGUGCAUGAAGCAACCUCUACAGAUCGAUGAUUAUGACAUUACACACAGCUAGAGGAAUGCAUCGUCUUAAUUGACCUGAGCAUUUUCAAAUUAAUUCAAACGACAAUUAAAAUGGAUCUGGACUGUGUGGCACCUUCGUCCCGGAAUAUCGGAGAGCUUUUUAUUGUGCGUUUGGCUCACCUCGUGACCUGGCCUUGUGUUUUAAUUACCACUGUUUCCUAUCAGGUAGCUCAGGCAACAAGACAAAAACAAUGGAGAAAUAAAAGGCUUAGUUUAGCAUUUACAUAGCGAUGGAAUUAACACUAUACGGAGAUAAGGUUAACAUUGUCCUCAAAUUAAAUGUAAUUAAAAAGUACACAACUGCUGUAGAAAAAUGUCAAGGAACUAAAGAUACUACAGAGAACAGCAAUAAAUCUGUCAACAUUUAACAUGUUUUUUCAUGUGAUAGUUACAACUGAUUAUGUGCAGUAUUUUCAUGGCUGAAAAUAAAAUAAUCUGAGCCUGUUUUAAAAACAUGGAUGCCAAAACUGUCCCUGAAGGAACCACAUAUGUUAGUUUUAGUGUUUGUUUAUUAUAAUUUGCAGUAUUAACACCUAACAGACAGAGAGCUGAGAGAAAAGCUUCGAAUGUAUUCCUUUGUGGUAUUUGGGUAAAUUCUCUGAUCAUGUUGUGCUCAUUAGAACUCAUGUGGGUAGGUAGGUGCAUGGUUCUGGUUUUAACAUUUGCUGGUGUUCAUGUGGUGUGCCAUUAGAAGAGAUGCUUGUGGAGAUAACUGACAAAUGCUCUUGACAUUAUCAUGACUGAAAUAAAAGCAACAACAUUUAAUCUGGAGGUUGAAGCAGAGCAGUGUAUUACUGCUAUUAGAUCUUUUUAGAUAUAUGACAGAAUGAUAAAGCAGGAGAGGAUGCACAGCACAUGCGGGUUAAAACUCAAGGGGCUCAUAAACACAACUCAUUCAAAACACUCAACACUGAAAGAGACAUUCAGCCAUUAUUCCUUAAAAAAAGAAAAAACUAUUAUAAUCACUUAAAUGAGCUAUCCUCAGCCACUGGUGGGCCUCAUGUAGCGGGCUGCAGGAUAAUGGUUGGAUUAAAAUCAUUUACAAUGCUAGAUAUUUUCACAUUUCACAGAAUUUACAUACAUAAAGACCAGCAAAUUAAAAUGUAUAAUUUCAAUAUCAGCACGCCAGUCACGAUGCAUUAUUGGGUAGAGAUGAAACAAUAUUUUGCCACUGUUAGCUAGCUAACACUGCCUCAGCUGCAGUGAGACAAAAUGCGUCGGUUUUUGAAAGCAAAAAGACAACCCUGUGCCAGUAAAAGCUCGUGGCGUGUGGUAAAAAAAAGAGGACCCUGAAAGAAUUAAAUUUGAAUUCAUAAUGGCAGUAAGUAAUGCUGAGCUGAAAGCAGUGUGUUAAAUCUGUUUUUUUCUUAUUUAUUUGGGAAGGUGGUCCUCUUUAGAAUUGAAGUGGGUCUUAAGUUACAAAAGGUUGAGACUCAAAGUGUACACAUAUAUAUAUAUUUCAGUAUUCAACGAAAAAGGUUCAAAAACCUCCAGUUUGAAUCUGGUACAUCUCUACUUGAAUCAGUACACAUUCACUACUGUGUUCUAGUGAUCCCCCAUAUUAGUAACAACCUAAAAGACCGUUUUCUGCUUAUUUCUGCCAUCUUAGCGACAGGUGUGUAAAUUUCAAAGAAAGUCAGAGCAUUAUAUGGCACAAAUAAUUUUCCACAGGCUUUCUCCAGAGGAGCCGAGCGUAAUCGACUACAUUAAGGAUGACUUCUCAUUUAGGAGGCAGAGAAGGCAGUUAUCAUAAUGAUACCUUUUCUCUGCGUGUCCUUACCAAAUGCUUUCCCAAAGACAAUCCCUCUGCACAACCUCUCAUUAUCAAAGCAAUCUCCUGACAAUGGGAAGAAGAACACUGGAAAUUACGUGAAUUAGUAUAGGACUAUGGAAAAAUGAUUGCCGAUUCAAGACUUUAAUUAGGCUCUUGCAAAACAAUCAGACACAAUUAGGAGGUACCAGUCAAUAAGCUAAAACUCAUAAGCAAGAGGAGAUGAAUUAAUAUUUGAUGAUUUUUAAAUGGCUAUUUGAGCUCAGAUGCCUUUCGCUCACAGUUGGGUACUAGACAGUGGAAAGUGUCCACAGCUCUUAUUGUGGCUAAUAAAGCAGGUGACUUGCAGGUAAAUCAGCAGGUGAAUCGGCACUGCCUUCCAAUGAAAAUGGCCAUUAGCUUGUAAUUGACUUCCUAAGCACCGUCUGAGUGGAUCCAGAAACAUGCUCUGAAUUCUUAAGACGUCCACAGAGCACCAUACGGAUUUCAGAGAGGUCAAACUGCCUUGAACAUAAAACUUUUUAUGGAACCCAACUGUUUCUCUGAGAGUGUCAGAUGUGUUCAAAAUCCCAUAAGAAACAUUAGCAUCCAUUUGAUAGGCCAAAAUAAUUCUAAAAUAAGAUGACAUUACAAAUUGAAUACUUGGUAUAAUUAUUUAGGCUUUUUUUCAACUUACAAAUUCAUUAAUGCCAUCAGAAAUACUGCUUUAUAUUGUUUUAUUGCCUUUUUUUUACAUCAGCAGGUACAUUUUAGUAAAUGUUUGACUGAAGGCUUGCCAACAUGGAAAUCAAACCCUAAACUGGCAGCGUUAGUGCUAAUCUAACUAUCAAGCUUUAUAAAUCAAGGAGGCUGAAACUGUAAUUAUGAUUUAUGCUGUCAUGUUAUUUAUAAUAAUCAACAUUGUUGAUAUGUAAAAACCUAACCCAGAAAACCCUUUUAUUAUAAUUAUUAUUAUUUUAUAGCACAAAAAGUGGCACUGAAGUACAAGAUUUGUCACAAAACAUCUGUGCAUGCCGAUGUUAAGCUGAAUUAAAAAACAAAUAUUAUCAAGUUAGAUUUUGUGAAAAAAUAGUUUUCAGAAAAAUCUGCCUGAAUUAAAGGAAAUAUUUGGAGGAAACGAGCAAGAGCUCAUUUGGAUUUCAUAACUAACUCACAUACUUUCAGAGAAACGUGGAAUUUAAAUAGGUUAACUGACCUAAACUGCUUCAGACUCUCAUAAAGAAAGUGAAAAUGUUUAUCCUUUCCUAAUCUUUGCUUUUUAAAUAUAACAGACAAACGACAUUCUGCAAACAUCAGUGGAACUGACAACUGUGCAACACUGUAUUAUGUACUGGAUUUAUUCUGCUAGGCCUCCAUAAUCUCCAGCAUACUGCUGGAUCCAUAAAACACACGUAGACCUACAGUAAACUGUGUGAUACUUGUAGAUAUGUAU